UGCAUUUCUUAACAUCUCCGCUCCUGCGUCUCCCAAAGUUGAGGUACAAUCCAGUUAAUUGUCUCAUGUUUUUAUCUCAAAUACAUGAGUUGACAUUUGACUAAUCUGACUAAAAAUGAACUACUCUAAUAAAUCAAAUCAAAUAAUUUAUCCAAUGAAUUUAUUUGCUUAGAUUUUUGUCAAUUUGAAACAGAAAUUAUGUAUAAGUUUACCAGCCAUCAUCAGCUUAUCAGCCUCUAGUUGUUUAUACUGGUCCUGGUUCUGCUGGAAAAUCCCUCUAGUUAAGAGGGGAUGGUUCCUUUCCGCUGUCACCACAUGCUUGGGGGAAUUGCUGCAAAAUCUAGUUAAAGUAAAUUCUUGCUCAAACAAAGCAGCUUUCCCAACAAGUUUCAUUACCAGCCACUGCUUUUCACGAAGUUGUUGCUGAUUUAUAAUCCAACUCAUAUGUCAACCUAACUUUUUUUUUUUUUUGCUGUAAAUUGUACAAAUUUCUACGGAAAAUGUAAGCUGUGUCUAAGAUUUCACUCAUUACCAAGCAGUUUUUAAAACCUAUCUGCUUGAUUUGAUUUGGAAUAAUUUUAUUGACUAGAAUUUAAUAACCUCAAAAGAAACAUGUUUUACAGUGUAAAACCUAAUUUAACCCUUUAUUUGUUGCUAGAAAUGGGUUAUAUUUUUUAAACUAAUAGAUCUGGAUGAUUAAUGAGAUCACAGAUCUGACACACAUGCUUUCUUUUACUACAUAAAGCUUUUUUAAAAGCAUUUUCUGAAAAUUCCCAAAACACUCACUCUCUCUCUCUCUCUCUUUUGAACACAAGUUUUAAGAGUUCCUUCAGAGCUCCUCUGCAUCACAGUUAAAAAAAAAAAAAAGAUAAAGAAAGAAAAAGAAAACAUUGUGUAUAUUUUCAGUGACCUCUUUACUGGGACAAAGGAGGCUGCAGAUCGAUUCGUUACACCUUUUUAGCGAGGCUUCUGGUGAAGGGGAGGGGCUCUGGAGCCACUGGAGACUCCAUUAAUAGCCUCCUCUCCGUCCAAACUAUUAUCUACCAUAAAGUGUUUAUAAAGAGCCCCCAACUUGAGCCUUAAUAUGUUGUUUCAAAUGAGGCGACGUGAGGGUGGUUAAGAGGGAGAUCAGAUUAUUUUCUCUUUAAAUAAUCACUUGGAUGGCAUGAAAUCCAGCGCUGUGCGCAUCGCGCAUCGGACUUUCUUUUUUGUUUUUGUUAUUAUUAUUUUUUUUCAUUCCUCCAGCUUCAUGGAUUCCGAUCUUACAGAAACGGAGUCAAAACUUUCUCCAGUUCUAAUUCUGCUCUGACACAAUCGUGCAAAGGAGAAGACACACUGCAGAGAAGUCCUGCACGCAGGAUGUCGAAUCAGGUUGUCUUAAAGAAACAAGGACGGAUGCAGGACAGUUCAGUUGAUUGUCGAAGGAAUUGGCCCGACUCGACUAUAAUCAAUACGUUUUAAGAAAAUGGAGCUACGAUCCAGCUGUGCUUCUAUCUCACAAACAUUACUCUGUCUGAUCUUGGAAAGCUAUUAUCUCUCCGACAAAAGACGGAUCUCAGAAACAGAAUGACUCUGUCUUCGAUCUGACUCAGAAUGGAAAGUCUUUACGAGACAAUUUUUGUUGGACGCCAGAAAAGCUUGUGAAAUAUUUGCCUUUAACGAGACGUUUCCUCCUGCCAGAUAUCACCCUGAUCAAUGACGCUUCUGCUCCAAGAGAAACGACAAUACCUGGAGCCACGCAGAUCCUCCUGAAUUGCUGCUGAAGAAGACGGUCGCACAUUCCUGAUUCUGGUUCUGCUGGUUCCUUCUUGUUAAAUCACAUUUGUUUUUACAGUGUUAAAUCAGAAAUAUUUAGAUUAAAGUGGAAUGCAUUUGUUUAGAUUUAAACUGAAAUCUGACUUCAGAAAAAAAAUUGUAUUUAAUGUAUCGUGAUUCGGAUGGGUUCAGCUUUUAUGUAUUAAAAGCUCACUUGGAUGACUUUAUGUAGUUGAGGGCCUGUACUUAAUUUAUUUAUGUAUAUAAAACUUGUUAGAAUGCCUCAAAUCUGUACCAAAAGAUUUUGUAAUAUUACGUCUUAUUUUUUCAUUACUUAUUUGACUUUAAUAUAUGUUACCUAAUUAUUUUCUAAUAAAACACAUUUUCUGCGUGGUUUAUCUGCAUUUA